GCAGGUGUUCAAAAGGCCCUGUCUAUGACAUCACUUGCUGCUGCAGCUUGACACAGGUCAGAGUAUUUUGGCGGUUGCCAUCUUCAAACGAUCGUAUCUUAAAAACUAUAACUCCUACAGUGAAGAGCUUUAUAUUGUGAGAAUCACAAGACCCAGACCUACAUUUUGAUGCAUAGUAUGUCUCUGAAGUAGUAAAAUUGAAGGCACAGUCGCAGUUUAGAAAUUGCACUUCAAAUUUGAGCUUUGCAGAGUGAAGUUUCAAUGAAUGUCAAUGGACGGCGUUGGUUGC